rnacentral:rRNA from 1 species
GAUGAACGCUGGCGGCGUGCCUAAUACAUGCAAGUCGAGCGAACGGACGAGAAGCUUGCUUCUCUGAUGUUAGCGGCGGACGGGUGAGUAACACGUGGAUAACCUACCUAUAAGACUGGGAUAACUUCGGGAAACCGGAGCUAAUACCGGAUAAUAUUUUGAACCGCAUGGUUCAAAAGUGAAAGACGAUCUUGCUGUCACUUAUAGAUGGAUCCGCGCUGCAUUAGCUAGUUGGUAAGGUAACGGCUUACCAAGGCAACGAUGCAUAGCCGACCUGAGAGGGUGAUCGGCCACACUGGAACUGAGACACGGUCCAGACUCCUACGGGAGGCAGCAGUAGGGAAUCUUCCGCAAUGGGCGAAAGCCUGACGGAGCAACGCCGCGUGAGUGAUGAAGGUCUUCGGAUCGUAAAACUCUGUUAUUAGGGAAGAACACAUGUGUAAGUAACUGUGCACAUCUUGACGGUACCUAAUCAGAAAGCCACGGCUAACUACGUG